rnacentral:rRNA from 1 species
GGAGUCUGGGCCGUGUCUCAGUCCCAAUGUGGCCGGUCAUCCUCUCAGAUCGGCUACCGAUCGUCGCCUUGGUGAGCCGUUACCUCACCAACUGGCUAAUCAGACGCAGGCCCAUCUUUCUGCGAUAGCUUACAAGCAGAGGCCAUCUUUGGUAUCUUUCCCAUGCGGGAAACAUACAUCAUUCGGUAUUAGCACCCCUUUCGGGAUGUUGUCCCCAUCAGAAAGGCAGGUUGCCUACGCGUUACUCACCCGUUUGCCACUAGGUCCUCUCAUUCAGCAAGCUGAUCAAAAGAACCCCGUCCGACUUGCAUGUGUUAAGCACGCCGCCAGCGUCGUCCUCGAGCCAUGAUCAAACUCU